UUUCCGUAGGUGAACCUGCGGAAGGAUCAUUAUUAAAACAAGGUGCACUUAAUUGUGACCCCUUAUAUAUGUGAGACAUCAAACCAUUUUAAACCCAAAACUGUCUGGUGUGCUUUAACGAGUAUAGCUUUUCAGUAGUACGCAUCAGGGACUUUAUUGUUUCAGUUGCAUUACCCCCCCUCAUAAGUUACCCCUUAUUCGCUGAACUCAUUACACUUAAAAAGUUUUAGGAAUGUAAAAUACAGAAACUGUUGGGAUAUAUAUAUAUAACUUUUAACAAUGGAUCUCUUGGCUCUCACAUCGAUGAAGAACGCAGUGAAAUGUGAUACGUAAUGUGAAUUGCAGAAUUCAGUGAAUCAUCGAAUCUUUGAGCGCACCUUGCACCUUUUGGUAUUCCAUAAGGUACACCUGUUUGAGUGUCAUGAAACCCUCUCAUCCUGAUUCUUUAUUUCGUUAAGGAGUUGGUGAUGGAUGUUGAGCGCUGCCGUGAUUGGCUCGCUUUAAAUACAUAAGUACUUUUAUUGACAAAAAUGAAAUGGAUAUUUACUUGGUGUGAUAUUUAAUUAUGAAUCAUCAAGGAGUGUAGUUAACUCUGCAGCCAUUUUGACCAUGUUGGUAAAUAGCUUCCUAACCCCCAUUGAACCUGUUGACCCUUUUAGACCUCAAAUCAGGUGGGACUACCCGCUGAACUUAAGCAUAUCAAUAAGCGGAGG
rnacentral:rRNA from 1 species